UCUGUAAUGAUGUAAGUGGCGCCA
rnacentral:siRNA from 1 species